ensembl:lncRNA
AUCUGGGCUGGGUUACGACUGGACUGCACUGCGCCCGCCUGACGCCAGAAGCUGAAAUCGGAUCCCGUGUACUCUGCAAGCAAGGAUUACUAUCAUAUAUUCUGCGUUGUAUGUAGCCAAGAAGUAUAGGGGGAGCACAUAGGCUAGUACUCCACCAUGGCGUCUCCAAGGCUGAAAUCUCAUAGGUCACAGCUACAAGCCUACUGUGUUGGAGGGUGUCAGCAGAAGGGCAUGCAUAAAGGCAGACUGCAGGGAUGGGGGAGUGAGCUGGAGACGGUGUGUGUGUGAGGAGGGCCUGGCCU